rnacentral:RNase_P_RNA from 1 species
GCAGUGCUCCGGCUUGUCGCUGGCAUUCUCUACUGGGGGGUGCGAGAGGAAAGUCCGGGCAGCGUAGGGCAUCCCACUUCCGAAAAUAGAAGCUAUUGGUGACAGUAGGUGUCGGUAGAAGAAAAUUACCGCCCGAAACUUAUUCCGUAGCGAAGUCAGGCUCCGGCAGGGCAUCGUGGUUUAGUGUCGGGUAAGGGUGAGAAGGUGGUGUAAGAGACCACCAGCUGGCGGGUGAUCGCCAGGCUGUGCCAUCUGGGAGCUGUAAGCUCAUGUAAACCGCAGAUUGAGGGCGGCUCGUCCGAUUGCCUUCGGGCUGCUGCGGAGGGUAGAGUGCUUGAGCCCAGGGGUGACUCUGGGACUAGAUAAAUGACAGGCACCCGUAUCGUUUCCGACGGUAUGGGUACAGAACUCGGCUUAUAGGAGCACUGCUUUC